rnacentral:rRNA from 1 species
AACGUAGGAGACAAACGUUAUCCGGAGUUACUGGGCGUAAAGGGCGUGUAGGCGGUUAGUUAAGUCUGGCGUGAAAGCUCUCGGCUAAACCGGGAGAGGUCGUUGGAUACUGGCAAACUAGAGGACGGUAGAGGCGUGUGGAAUUCCGGGUGUAGUGGUGAAAUGCGUAGAGAUCCGGAGGAAGACCGGUGGCGAAGGCGGUCUGCUGGGCAGUUUCUGACACUGAGGCGCGGACGAGCGUGG